AAUCAUUUUAUAUUCAUUUCAUUGCUUUUUGAGAGCCAAACUCUUGACUAAGUUGUGCGUUCUUGAGCGUAUUUAUUUACUCAUAUCUACUCUUCAAGAGAGGUCUGUUUAAGUGAGUGCUAAGUGUUUGUACACACUUGAAGGGAUAGUCUAAUCCCUUGUUGUAAGAAGGAAAAGUAGUUCCUUGGUUUGAAGUCUUGAGG
rnacentral:lncRNA from 1 species